rnacentral:lncRNA from 1 species
GGCUUCACAACAAAACUGCUCUGCAACAUUCUCCUCAACAACUAAAUCGCUGGAGACUUGUUAUAUAACAAAUGUUGGGCUAAAAUGGGCAUAAUCCAAGACCCCUGAAGCCCCUGGGUCCCAGAAUGAUUUGGAAGUACAAUCAAUUCCACUGAAUCCUACACGCUGGAUGUUCAAAUCAUGUCAUGUCAUGGCAUUGAUAUACUGUGUCACCAAGUGUGCCCACUCAUGCUGGCUGAUUUUCAGGUAGACAAUGAUUAUAUCAUCCCUCCUCCUUCACCUCCACCUCCACCUCCUCCCCCUCCCUUAUCCUCCGUUGGGAGGUGGUGCAGAGUGGAUGAGCAGAAAGAAGAUCCCAUCCGCAGAAAAGCAUGAGUGUACUUUGCUCCUGUGACUUGUGUUAGAGGGCAGAAUUGAAAUCUUCCACAGCAGGAUCUUUAUAUCUGGACAUGUGUCGUCGGCUCUGCUGCCCAUCUCGUGUUUGAUGUGACUGAGGAAGGAACGUACGAGGUGAAAGAUGGGAUUCAUUCAGAGCUCACCCUGACCUAUCGUCACUAAACUGCGUAUCAUCAUCACUAAGAUCCAGGAUGAUGGAGAGCGAGACAUCUACCGUAGGAACAGGACGGCUGUCCAGGUUGUCACACAUGAUGCACCUUGGAAGGAGCAGUGUCGGCCCUUCAGAGUCCGGCCUCAGCGGCCAGAACACAGAGGAGAACAUGAGGAGCGGGAGCAGUGAUGGUCGGGGGCCGCUGGCUGCACAGAACAUGAACAACUCUAACAACAAUGACGGGUAAGAUGAAAUACGGAUGUCCUUAAACCCACUACGAAACACUAUACACUACUUUUAGACACAAAAGAGAAUGCAGACGACGAUGUAUGCCAGAUAUAAAUGUAUGACAGAUCUCUUGGCAUCACUUAAUAUCCACAUUCAAUAUCUCAAAUAUUUUUGAAAUAUUUUUUUAUGGGCCAAAAGAUUUCGUUAGUUGUAAGCUUUGACCUCAUAGUGGUGUCAGAGUGACGGUCACGGGAUCACCAGUGCUGUUACGCAACACACAGUGUAUCAGCAGCAAGUUUUCAGGUAUUCUGUUGAGUGGCAUUCAAAUAGUCCAAUGGGUCAGUGAAGGAGCUCAGCCUGCUCUGCUUUGAUUGUGACAGUUCCUGGAGUACAGUGAACACAACACCGCGUGCCUCAUUUAUAAAUCUAAGAAGAUUUUUUGUUAUACAUGAGUCCAACCUCACUGAGUCAGCCAUCAGUGAGGACGUACGCCCCUGACCACCAAGAAGAGGGAAGUCCACAUUCAUAUUCAUAAUGUUCAUGUUAAAAACAGGCAUGACGUGAAAAAACUGAUCACAUAGGUGAUAGCAGUUAAAGUCAGCGAUGAUGCAGUGCUCAGUGCUCUUGGGCUGCUCCUCAUUUCAACACCUGCAAUGUACAUGUGGUACUGCAGUAACCUGACUGUACGGUCUCACGGCGCCCCCCUCGGGCCCUGUGAUACUACUG